AUCUAGUGUAUUGAGCAAGGAAUUUCAUCAGUGUCCAGUGACAAUGUUAAGCAGCUUGGGGGGAUUAGAUAAACUCAAGGCCUGCAGUAGAAGUAUGGUACAAAUUUGGCUCAAAAGGAAGUGAAAAUGGAAGAAAAAUUGCUAAUCAAACAACUGGAGAAAGAUAAAUGAGAAGCUGAAAAAGAGAAAAGGAAAUUGGAAUGCGAGCUUUUACUGCUCUGUUUUUGUUACUUCAUCAUGUUUAUAAAUGCAUGUUCUUUCUUCUAAGGUUUUAAUGUUCAUUUAACAAAGAUAAUGAUUGAUUUUGAUGUAAAGAUAUCUAAUUUACUUUUUUGAAAAUGUGAUAUUUUUAUUAGAAUUUAUUUUUGCAUAGACUCCUAAGGUCUAGCUAAGUUCAAGCAUCUGGAAAAUUUUCCAAAAAUUUUCCGCUUGUCGGAAAAAUUUCCUUCAAUAAAAAAAGAGUUUCCUCUUGUCAGUAUUGGAAAUAAUUUUAUUCUGUCGGAAAUUAAUUUUCUUCAGUCAGAAAAUAAUUUCCAAUAGAUGAAUAAAUUAAUAUUGAGAUAAAAAAAUAAAAAUGAGAGUAGAGAUAAAAUAUAUCAUAAAUUUAAUGUAUGAAAGUCCAGUGGAUUUAUUACUUAGCAGAUACGUAUUUUAAAAAAUUAUGCAUUAUGUUGCCUUGUUUAUUGAUGUUUGCGUGCUUCUAUAAGGAGCAGCCAGAUCUUGUAGAAUCUGUUGAUGAGUUUGCCUAUGUAUUGGCACAAAAUUGCCCUUAGCAAACUAAUGGUGGUGAUUGUGGCAUUUUUGUACUCAAGUACAUGAAGUUUUUACAUGCUAGAUUACCAAUGAGUUUCACACCAGAUGACACAUUGUUCUUUUAGGAGGAAAUAUGCUCAUGAGGCUUACAACAAGAAACUAAGCAUAUGAGUUAGGUGGUUGAUUCGUGAACAUCAUAAUAUUAUAUUUUACUUUUUGUUUUUGUUAUUUUUAUCAUGUUUGUAUAUGUAUCUUUUUUCUUAUAUUAGCAUUUUAAAUGUAAAGAUAAUAAUGAGUUCUAAUGUAAAGAUAAUUAAUUUAUCUUCUACAAAAUGUGGCAUGUUUACUAGAAA